CCUUACUAAACUCAGGAGAAGUUUUUACAUAGCUGUUGUAUCAGCUCUAGUGUACCAUAUUUGGAGAGUCAGAAAUGAUGUUUUGUGGUCCUCUAAGAUAUGGCAUGUCAAUCAUACAAUGGAGGUCAUUAAGAGAGAGCUAAAACUGAGACUUACUGUAAUGUAUAAAGGGAAACAAAAUAGGGAUAAGGAAUGGUAUCAGAAAUUGUAAAGUUAGAUGUGGAAUGUAAGUAACAUAGGGGUAGAAGGGAACUAUAAGUGUACAUGAUUUGUUUUGAGCAAUACAAUGAUUCUUAUUCACCAAAAAAAAAAAAAAAUUUAGGAAAAGAAAAUCAAUAUUUCACCAUUGAAGAUCUGCCCCUACUUGCUUCUCUUCUGGUCAUCUUGAGUGUCUCUAGUCAUCUCUAAAGUUCUUGGUCAACUAUGUCUCAUAGUCUACUCUAUUGGAAGGGUAAGUUCUCCAUUCUUUUUGUCCUCUGCUAUACUUUAAUGCCCUGAAUGUUGAUAUUUUUGUAUUGUGCAAAUGAGGUUCACCAUUAUAGGGUCUUAUGCUUGCCUAUAUGUUUUUCUUGUCUUUUGCAAAGCAGUGUAUAAAUGUUAUUUUUUUUAUCUAGCCUUAUUUCGUGUUCGCCUUGUGAUGCUUUUAUUAUUGGUAGAUGUUAUCUUUAUUUUUAUUAAUAAAUUCUUUGUUCUUUCUCUUUCUUUCCUUUUCUUUCUGUGUUUCUUCAGAUUUUUUGUAAGUGGAUUAAGCUAUAAUGACUACUGUAAUUCAUGUUGGUGAAUUGGAUUGCUUACUUAUUUAUAGUAGUGUUUGAAACUAAUUUGUUUGAUGUGAUCUGAACUAGUUACUGAAGUUGUUUCAUGAGUUUGAAAAGCUUGAUUCAUGAAUUGGAUUGCUUACUUCUUCAUGCAGAAAAUGGGAUCAAUGGCAGAUGAAUUGGAUCCAUGUUGAACAAUCAUUGGUGAACACAGGAAAGGAAAGGGCAAAAGUCAGCCUUCUUUUUACAUGGGCGGAAGGCAAUGUUGCCAACCAGAGGGAACAUCUAAUUCUUCUCCUUGCCAAUAUUCACAUUCAGAAAGCUAAUAAGUAGUCUGUCUUGAAGAGUUAUACACAGUAUAUCCUUUUGCCAAUCAGUGACCUUGAUUCUUGGUUGAAGACACCCUCCAUAUAUGUUUUUGAUUGCUCUGCGGCUGGGGGAAUAUUGUGAAUGCUUUUAUUGAGAUGAAUCUGAAUCUACUUUUCAUGAGGCUUUUCUUAGUCGUCUUACGGAAACUGGUGCAACAGAAAGUUCAUCUUUAUGUAACCUUCCUAAACAGAUGGAAGGUGAUCAACAGAGAGCCUCUGAACAGACUAAGAACAUCUUAAGUAAUUUAGUUGCUGCUGUUGACAAUUUGUGGUAUCUAAAAGAUGGAAUACAUACUGUAGUCUUGAAAAAACUUUCAGAAAAUGGAUCUUGCAGGCAAAGGACACCAAGUGAAUUAGAUAGAGAGGUUAAGAACUUGAGGGUGGCAUUUACUAACCUAUUUUUGAAGCAUAACACUUUCAAAGAAACUGCAAAGCCAUCGAGAUAUUGAUGCAAAGAAUAAAGCUGAGCUUAGAAUAUUAAGAGGUAACUCCUAGUGAGUGGAGAGAAGGCACUUCAACUUGGAUUGCAAGUAAUUGCAAAGAUUAAGGGCUAUGCUGAUGCAGCUCAGGUACUCCAAUGAAUUGGCUUCCUAGUUCUAUUUUACUGUUGCUGAAACAUAGCUCAAAGAAGAUUAUCUUUGCAGACACCUGAAUUCUUUACAACUGCUCCAGCCCUUGUGAUACCAAAAGCUAUUUCAAAUGCUGG